CCUACGGGUGGCAGCAGUGGGGAAUAUUGGACAAUGGGGGCAACCCUGAUCCAGCCAUGCCGCGUGUGUGAAGAAGGCCCUCGGGUUGUAAAGCACUUUCAGUGAGGAAGAACGCCUGGUGGUUAAUACCCAUCAGGAAAGACAUCACUCACAGAAGAAGCACCGGCUAACUCCGUGCCAGCAGCCGCGGUAAUACGGAGGGUGCGAGCGUUAAUCGGAAUUACUGGGCGUAAAGCGCGCGUAGGUGGCUUGAUAAGCCAGUUGUGAAAGCCCCGGGCUCAACCUGGGAACGGCAUCCGGAACUGUCAAGCUAGAGUGCAGGAGAGGAAGGUAGAAUUCCCGGUGUAGCGGUGAAAUGCGUAGAGAUCGGGAGGAAUACCAGUGGCGAAGGCGGCCUUCUGGACUGACACUGACACUGAGGUGCGAAAGCGUGGGUAGCAAACAGGAUUAGAUACCCGAGUAGUC
rnacentral:rRNA from 1 species